rnacentral:rRNA from 1 species
UACGAAGGGGGCUAGCGUUGCUCGGAAUCACUGGGCGUAAAGCGCACGUAGGCGGCUUGUUAAGUCAGGGGUGAAAUCCUGGAGCUCAACUCCAGAACUGCCUUUGAUACUGGCGAGCUUGAGUCCGGGAGAGGUGAGUGGAACUGCGAGUGUAGAGGUGAAAUUCGUAGAUAUUCGCAAGAACACCAGUGGCGAAGGCGGCGCACUGGCCCGAUACUGACGCUGAGGCACGAAAGCGUGGGGAGCAAACAGG